GGGGCUGUAGCUCAGUGGUAGAGCGCUCGCUUUGCAUGCGAGAAGUCCUGGGAUCAAUCCCCAGCAGCUCCA